CCCUGUGGCUCAGUUGGUAGAGCAUGGUGUGUGCAACACCAGGGUUGUGGGUUCGAUUCCCACAGGGG
rfam:Salmo salar isolate Sally breed double haploid chromosome ssa16, whole genome shotgun sequence.